rnacentral:misc_RNA from 1 species
AACCAUAGAAACCUGCGGAGUACCUGCGGAGGGAUCAUUACAGAGUUCGUGCCCUCGCGGGUAGAUCUCCCACCCUUGUGUAUUUUCUACAUCUUGUUGCUUUGGCAGGCCGUUGGUUCGCCAACCACCGGCUCGCGGGCUGGUGCGUGCCUGCCAGAGGACCUCUCAAACUCGGUUUGUUAGUGUCGUCUGAGUACCAUAACAAUCGUUAAAACUUUUAACAAUGGAUCUCAGAUCGGA